rnacentral:lncRNA from 1 species
UUUAAGGCUUAUUUCUUGCUGCUAUGUAGCAGUCCACUUGACAUGCAGGUACCAUGCAACCUGACCUUUACUUUGAGUGAGAGGACUUGUGUUGCCAGUAGAAGUAAUAACGCCCAGAACUCCCAUUAUUAUUGUGAAUACCAAACCUUCAGAACCUACAUCCCACAGCUAAUUGACUCACCAAGGUAAGAAAAACUAUUACCAAUUUCUAGUGAGUUAUCUGGACAUUUGAAGGAAUCCAUUUUCCAAGCUUUCCCAUUAAUUAUUACUUUGGUGCACCUGCUGUAUAAGAGAUCUAUAUUCUGUAGUGUUUUAGACUUGAGAGAAAGGGUAGCAGUGGAGUUUCUGGUGAUACUUGUGCAAACCUGUGUCAGUACCUUGCAUUUGAAAAAGAAAAAGGUUUGUGCAAUGCUUUAUGCUUCUCAAAUUUAAUCAUAUAUACAUAAAUAUAAAUAUAUAUAUAUAUAUAUAUAUAUAUAUAUAUAUAUAUAUAUAUCAAAGAACAAAGUGAAGGUACACUGCUAUAUAUAUAUAAAAUACAAUACGGGACAAGAACGCAAAAUAUCCGGGCUACUUGGUGAUACAAAAAAGGGACAACAAAACAUCCAGAUAGACAAUACAAAAAAACAAGGAUGGGUCAUUCGAAGCUUUCUAUCCUCAGUCAAGAACCAGAUCAUCCUCGCAAUUUCAUCUGAUUAAUCUUAAGAUUGCUCCAAUCUGGCCAGCCCCAAGAAAAAACUAAGCCAAGAGCAUUAGAUUCCUUGGAAGAAAGCAUCGAAUGUAUAUGAAAACAAGGACGGAAAAACAGACAAUGUUAAACAAAUAUAAAUACAAAAUACUAUAAAAAUAAUAAUAAUAACCGGAUGUUUUGCGUAUUGUCCCAUUUUGUAUUUUAUAUACACACACACACAUAUCUAUAGACAUGAACACAAGUCAAGCAUAUAACACAAAAGAAUCUAUUAAAAUCUCACAUUGAAAAUAAAUACAGACAGUGAAUAGUUAAGCAGAUUAACAGCCAGUAAAACAGAGAGAAAACAGAAAAUUUUACUGGAUAGUUAGGGUCUAGUAAAACUGAAACACUAACAGUAGGUGACAGACAAAAAUGAACAAAGUGAGUUUGUUACUAUAUAUAUACAGGUACUCUUAUCUCUCAUUGCUUCAGUUGUGCCAAAGCACAAUGGUUUGAGACAUAUAAAGAGGUGGAAAUUUUUAGAAAUACAUUUAGAGAAAAUAGACACAUAUAAGCAUUAGAAGUGAUGGAAGUUAAUACAAAGAUACGUUUCAAAAUUACUCACUUAAGGAGUAAACUGUGUCUUUUCAAUUCAGUGGAAAGCUAACCAAUACCAUAGUCUCAUUAAAAGACAUUGAUAUAUACAAAACAUUACCAUUCAUGCAUGCACAUGUGCACACACACACGCACACACACACUUCAUUAUAUUCCUAGUAUGUAGAUAUGACUUCGUUUUUGUAUAUGGUUUGCAAGAUUCUUCAUGUGAAUUGGUGUGUUGAAACAAAUUUUACUGUGGCUUGAGAAAGUCAUUAUGCUAAUAGCAUCUAACACAUUGGUCAAUACCACUUUUUAUCGCUAGUCAAUUAGUUAUCUAUCUAACCAACUAACGAAUCAAUCACUUGUUCAGUGUGCUGGUUAAACAAACAACUGAUUGAUUGUUUAACCAGCACAUUGAACAAAACAGUCAAUAUUGGUCGGUUAGAAAUUUGACUAAUUGACUAACAAUAAAUAAGUGGUAUUGAACUAGUAUAUGUGUUAUUACCACUUGCAUAAUGACUCUCGCAUGACAAAACAAAAGUGCAUAGCAUCAUCAUCGUUUAACGUCCGUUUUCCAUGCUAGCAUGGGUUGGACGGUUCGACUGGGGUCUGGCAAGCCAGGAGGCUGCGCCAGGCCCGGUCUGAUCUGGCAGUGUUUCUACAGCUGGAUGCCCUUCCUAACGCCAGAAAUGUAUGUUAUUAUUUAUUUAGGUGGAGGUGCAUGGCUUAAUGGUUAACGUUGCACUCAUCAUAGUAAGAUUACAGUUUUAGUUCCAGGACUGGGUGAUGCAGUGUGCCUUAGAGUAAAACACUUCAUUUCACUUUGCUCCAGUUCAUUCAGCUAGCAAAAAUAAAUAAUCCUGCAACAGACAAACAUCCCAUCCAAGGUUGUAAUAUAUAUUCAACAGAAUUCAGGAACCUGGCCUUAAGAGCCUAUGGCUUGGGAAAGGCAUUUAAUCCCUUUUUUUUUUUUAUACUUUGUGGUUUAAAGAGAGGAGAGAGGACCUCAUCAUUGACAUAGUCUCACAACUCCAGAUUUUUAUCAAGUCUGAAAUAUUUCUGAAAUGAAUCUGGAGUACAGAUGGCAUGCCAUUGAUGCGAUUGAGAAUGGUAACAAAAGGAGUUUGACUAGCCUAGCUGAUUGAUUGACCAAGAAUUAAUGAAGCAAUCAAUUAAUCAGUUAAAUGGUUAAACAUUCAAUACAUGAAAUUAUGGAAGUGAAACAGAACCAGAGAGUGUGUUUAUUAUUGGCUUAAUGAUCAUCUCCAGACACAAAAAUAUAUAUGUAUUUAUAUAUAUAUAUCAUUUAUCUUUUACUUGUCUCAAUCAUUAGAUUGUGACCAUGCUGGAGUACUGUAUAGAAAAAUUUUAGUUGAAUGAUUCAACCCAAGAACUUUAUUUUUCUAAGCCUGAUACUCAUUUUUAUUUCUUCAUUGCCCACAAGGGGCUAAACGUAGAGGGGUCAAACAAGGACAGACAAAGGGAUUAAGUCAUUUACAUCGACCCCAGUGUGUAACUGGUACUUAAUUUAUCGAUGCCGAAAGGAUGAAAGGCAAAGUUGACUUCGGCAAAAUUUGAACUCAGAAUGUAGCAGCAGACGAAAUGCCGCUAAGCAUUUCGCCCCGACGUGCUAACAAUUCUGCAAGCUUUCCGCCUUAACCCAAUACCAGUUCCAUCAGUCUUUAGGUCACCAUGUAGCUUAAAAGUCUACAAAACAUAGAUAGAAGGUGGUGUUGGGGAUGCUGCUUUCAUAUGUUAGAUGGGUGUUAAAUCAUAAAAAGGGAGGUUGUGGGGGAGCAGGUCCAUGCUGUAGAGGAGCUACAUAGCUAUUUACAUUUAGGAGAAAGAGAGGGAGAAUGAAUUAGUGGUAUCUGCAAAGAGAUAGAUGGUGUUGAUGAAGUGUCCGAGAUACACCAUGGGUUGGAUGAAGAAUGGCUGAAAAGUGAGAUGACUGAGUAGUGAGAAAGAAUAGUGGUAUUAUGGAGGGGUGAAGAGCUAUGGUGGGGAAUAUUUAAGGGGAGGGCAAUGUGAGGUGCUCAUAUAUAUACACACACACAAACAUAACAUAAAGACACAUAUACACCUCUGUGUGUGCCUGUAUAUAUAUAUAUAUAUAUAUAUAUAUAUAUAUAUAAAAUGAAGGUGACUAGAUACAAUGUAAAACCAAAAAGGAAAAAUUUAAUUGCCACUAAUUAUGGACUGACAGUGCAGGGUAGCACCUACAUUGCUAGAGAUAAGGCUGUACGUACACACACACACACACACAAAACACACACACGUACACACACAAACACACGCACACAAACAUACACACACACCAUAUAUACCCCCACCAUGCUCCCAGGAGUCACUUUACCUGCAAUAAGUGGGUGGUCAUGAGAACCUCAUAUCACCAGAUAUCCUAUUCCUUUGACUUUACCUGUGAAGCUGAGGGUCCUGAGUUCAGCCUUCACUACUCCAUCCAAUGUCUUCCUGGAUUUUCUUCCUUCAAAAGCUCCAGCCACAUUUUGUGAUCAACACUUCUUCAUAGAGCUUUCCUGAUCUAUAUGCAUCAUAUAUCUGUACCAGUGCAAUCUUCUUUUUUGCACACUAUUUCUAAUUCUACCUAUGCCCAAUUUUUCUCUCAGUAAAUUUAUGCUAUGUCAUUUAUGCUCAAUUGCAAUGCACAGCAAACAGAGCAUACUUGCUUCAUUUCUUUCCAGUCUUCUCAUGUCCUCUUUGUUCAAGGCCCACAUCUCACUGUCAGGCUGCAGUGCAGUCCUAAUACAUAUUGCUUUUCACUUUGUGGGAAAAGACCUGUAUUACCAUCAGCAGUAACAACUCCUUCGACUUUCUCUAACUCAUUCUUACUCUGGCUACUAUGCUUGCUGAACACCCACUACAUUUACUGAUGACAUCUCUUAGCAAAAUCUAUCAACUGCUCUUAGUGAACCACUAAGGCAUUCAAGGAGCUCCAUUUCUGGUGUGUUCAUUGAACACUGUGUUCCAUUGUAUCUUUUACACAUGAAGCUUAUAUUUUCUGAUUGUCUGCCUCUGAUUCUGCUACAUCUCUGAUGUGAACAUAGCUUACAUUAAGUGAAGGAUGUGGAAUUUAUAUUCACAUCUUUUAUGCAUUUUGAGCAAGGCCAAUUCCAUUAGCGUGCUGAAGUCCUGUAUUCCUUCCCAUUAAAAAAGACUUUCAUCUUAGCUAAGUUUGCCUAAAAAAAAUUUUAAAUACAGUUUAGCUUCCCUGCCUGGAAUUUCUUCCCUGCCUGUCUAAUUCCUCUAUAACUUCAGUUAUAAGAACUAGUUUAUCACCAUAUAGGAGUUCCAAUGCACAUCCAUUCUUAAACUGUUUUGUGUCCAGUAGGACCAUCAUGAAUAUGAUGGGAUUGAGAAUUGACCCCUUGACUUCAACUCUCAUACUAAAUACCUCACUGAAGCCAUUCUUGACCCACAGUUUACUCACCGUAUCUUUCUGCUCAACUUCCACAACUCUUUUGCUAGUGCUUAGUUUCCUUAUUGACCACACGAUAACUGUAUCUGGUACACCCUCAAAUGCCUUCUCCAGUUCAAAAAGAAACAAAAAAACCCCCCAGAAAUAGUGAUUUACUGUUAGCCAAGUAUUUUCCUGUAGUAGACUCACUAUGAAGAAUGCAUUUGUGGCACCUCUUCCAGGAACAAAACCAUGUCAUAAAUCAAUUGUGCAAUGACUUUCCCUGUGAUCUUUAUAACUUGAUAUUUAUUAACAAUGACUUUUAAAGCAAAAACAGCAAUAAAAUAUAACUUAUAAUACAUUGAAAGGAAAGCUAUAAAAAAGGUAGAAUUUUUCACACACACAACAUACCAAACCACACCACACCACUCACAAAUACACACAUACACAAACAUACAUACAUAUAUAUAUAUAUAUAUAUAUAUAUAUAUAUAUAUAUAUAUACCAAUACAUCACUAGAUUGACCAGACUAUCAGAUGUUGUUAUACACCAUUGGUUACAUUGCACAUCCUGCAUUACCAUACCUUAUGAAUUAUGUUAUCCCUCUGAAAAAUAUGUAUGGGUGUACAUACAUAUAUAUAUACAUAUAUAUAUAAACAUACAUACAUGUAUAUACCUAUAUAUAUACAUAUAUAUAUAAAUAUAUAUACAUAUAUACAAAUAUAUAUACAUAUAUACAUAUAUAUAUAAAUAUAUAUACAUAUAUACAUAUAUACUAUAUAUAUAUAUAUAUAUCUAUACAUUUAUUAUAUUCAUAUGCACAUGACUAAACUUAGUUAACUAAAAGUAUGAAAGUGACAUACUAGAGUAAGCAGUUAAAUGUCCCCCAAAUCAUUCCCUGUUGUACUGAAAAUAAAAGACAGACCCAUUGUAUAAUAUCAUCUAAAUACUUCUGAAUGAAAUACAGUAUUGUCAUGGCUAGAAAAACUUUAAUCAUAGGUUUUGCUCAAUCAGUCAUGACCAGAACUUGACCAAGAGCACAACAAGAAAAAAAAAGCCAUCAAUAAGUAAAUCAAUAAAUGUGUAAACAAAUAAGUAAAAAGAAUUAUAGAUUUCAAUAAUACCAUAGUUUGGUAGAUUGUAUUGUGUUUGGUUGAAUCUACUGGUUAUUGAUAUGAGUUUCUUUAUAAUAAAAAUCUUAUUAUUAAGGUUACACAUUGUGCCUCAGGUACUAUAGAAGUGAAUGACAACAAAUGAAAUAUGUCCUCUAGCAAAGGAUAAAUAAAAAAAGAGAAUAUAUAAUAACAGAAAUACUAUUGAAAAUUAAAUAAAGAACAGGGCUGACAAGAAUCAGCUAAAUAGCUGAUAAUACAAUACAUAUAUAUAUAUAUAUAUAUAUAUAUAUAUAUAUAUAUAUAUAUAUAUAUAUAUAUAUAUAUAUAUAUAUAUAUAUAUAUAUAUAUAUAUAUAUAUAUAUAAAUAAAUAUAUAUAUAUACACUCAUAUAUAUGUAUAUAUAUACUCAUAUAUAUAUAUAUUUAUAUAUAUAUAUGUAUAUAUUCAUAUAUAUAUGUGUGUAUAUAUAAAUACAUACAUAUGUAUAUAUAUGUGUGCAAAUAUAUAACUCUAAAGUUGUACAGAGGCAUACAUACUUAUAUGUGUGUGUGUAUGUGUAUAUAUAUUAUAUCACACACACACACACACACACACACACACACACACAUAUAUAUAUAUCUACACACACACACAUGCACACACACUCAUUCUCAUCCUUACAAGGACACAGAAUAUAUAUAUAUAUAUAUAUAUAUAUAUAUAUAUAUAUAUAUAUAUCCGUAUGUUUAUGUACGAUACUAUGAAAAAGAAAAUAGUACAUUCUUAUGAAGAACAUAGAUAAAAAUCGCACAAAAAUUAUCAGAAAUAAAUAAAUAGAAAAUAAACAUCAAGAUAAAAAUAAAAAAGUAAAUGUAGGUAUAAAUACAUAACUUCCCUUUCUGUUUCUCCUUUUCUAUGAAAUGUUAUAUAUUCCAUUCCUUUAUAUUUCAUUCCUUUAGGGUAGGCACAAGUUCAACAUUUCAGUACAGUAGCGUAAAUGGCUUGUAUAUAGCACAAUUUGAUAUUCGUAGCCACAAGGGUUAAAAUGUAUAUGUAUACGUAUAUCAAUCUAUCAUAGAAGUAAAGUAGGGAAGAAUAUUUGAAUGAAUGAACUCCAGUGAAUUAUUGGGUUUUGAUAUUUUGAAAUAAAUAUGGAUCAUGAUACCUUUUUGUUUUUUUUAAUAUAAAGGGAAAGUAGAAUUUGUUGCACAACCAUCAGUUAGUUACUGAUAUAAUGAAUGUGAUAAGCUGACAGAAACAUUUCCAUACUGGAUGACAUCAAGAGAUUUGGUAGGAUUUUACGUGUGUUAAAAAUCAUAAUCAACAUCAUCAUAAUAUUAUCAUCAUCAUCAUCAUCAUUAUUGUUAUUAUUAUUAUUAUUAUUAUUAUUAUUUAGUGAGAGAGCAGUGCAUGCCAUCAAAGUGACACUGGUGUAAAAUAUACAAAGCCCAGUAUACCAAUCAUGACUACCUGUCUGAUAAGAGUACACUAGGCAAAUGCAUCACUACCAUAUGUGUGCGCGACAUGGUGAUCUCAUAUCAAGAUAAACAACACAUGAUCUUGCAGGUAAGGCCCAGUAGGAAUUUUCUUCUGGUCGAGUAACAAUCCCAAUCCAAAGGUCCCUGAAUAAGGGUUGCUUAAGGAUGUUGAACAAAACACCCAUGUUUCCAGAGGUGAAUUAUUCAAACCCCAAAGAAUCCCUCUCAACAUAUGGCUAUGAUGCGCCCCCAUGACUUCUGCUUGUGAUCAGAGAUGCCCAUAUCAUCAGCCACUAAGGGACAUGCUCAACUGGUUAAGGUCAAACAACUGACAAGCAAAUCUGUGGUAUUGAGCAGAAUAUUUGCUGUAGCCCAUCUUUUAUACCAAGACAAAACAAUAUACAUGAUAACACUUCCAACCACUUAAGAUCAGAAGCUGCGAGAGCCACUGCCUGGUACUGCAUCAGGGCAUUGUACUAUCAUCAUCAUCAUCAUUAUCAUCAUCACCAUAAUCAUCACUGUCACCACCACCACCACCAUCAUCAUUAUUAUUAGUUUGCUGGGCAAACUGCUUUAUAUUCUGAAUUCAACUUGUGCUGAGGUCGGCUUUACUUUUCAUUCUUUCAAGGUCAAUAAAAUAAACACCAGUAGAGCACCGGGAUUAAUGUAAUCAACUUAACCACUCCCCUGAAAUUGCUGGCCUUGUGCCAAAAUUUGAAACCCUUAUCAUUAUCAUCAUUCUUAUUAUUAUCAUUAGACCUGACAAAUGUAUUAGGACACUAGACAAUAUGCUUAGUGACAUUCUGUCUGUCUAUACAUUUUGAGUUCAAAUUCAACAAUGGUCAACUUCUUUACAUCCUUUCGAAAUUGAUGCAUUACAUACCAAUUGAGCGCUAGGCUUGAUAUAGUCAAUUUAUCCCUCCCAAAAUUGCUGACCUUGUGUCAAAAAUUUGAAGUCAUUAUUGUUAUUGUUAUUAUUCUUAUUAUUAUUUAAGGCAGUGGGAAACUUCUUACUAUGCAGCCAAUAUAUAUGUAGAUAAUCUCAUCAAAAUGUCAGUCAUUAACCCUUUCGUUACUGUAUUUAUUUUGAGAUGUAUUGUGUUUUUUUCAAUUAAUUUUAAAUAGAACAAAGAAUUUAGUAAAAUAACUUAGUUAUCAUUCAACUAGUGUUAGGAACAUAAAUUUUGACUAAGGUUUGGUGGAAGAUUUUAACUCAGAACUUAUGAAAACAAGACAUUUGUACUUCAGAGUCAGAGCCGGUUUCAGCCAGGUUGGUAAUGUUUUUAUCUACUGAGUCUAGAGGAAGGAUGGUACCAAUGACUCUUGUUGAUCCUCUGAGGCUUUUGAGCUUGAUACCAUUAAGUUUCUAUUUACAAUGUCAUUGGUCAGAAUUUUGAGGAAUCAAAUUAGCAGGGAUAAAAUUUAAGAAGGCUGAUUUUUCUGGAUAUGAAAAUCUGGACAUAGUAGCUAGUGUGAAGCUGAAGCUGUUAUCUAUAAAGCAUAUGAUAAGCGAUGUAACUGGCAGCACUCCAUUGGUCAUGAUGUAGAGGGUUCCAAUUGAUCCAAUUAAUGAAACUGCCUGCUCAUGAAAUUAAUGUUUCCUCCUAAGUAUAAACAAAACACAAAGUCUGACAGCCAUCCAAUGUAUGCACACGCCUUUGAUAAAGGUCUGAUAAAGUUCCUCUCUAACAUUUCCUCUUUUUGCAAAACUCAUACAAUAGUUUUACAAUUGCAAAACUUGGAUAUUCUACACCUGAAGAAUUUUGAUAUUAAUCUGUAAUACGAUGUAGAUAGCCUGAAGCUUAUGUUGAGUGAUGCAUAGUGAAUACCAUAACCUUCUUGUUGAGCACUCCAUAGAUAUACAUACAUUUAACAUAGUUCUCAGAGACAUGCAGAGUGUCACAGAGUGUAACACGGCUGGCCCUUUGAAAUACUGAUACAACUAAUUUUUACCAGCUGAGGUGACUGGAGCAAUGUGAAAUAAAGUUACUUUCUCAAAGACACAACACACUGCUUGGUAUUGAACUCAUAAACUUAUGAUCAUGAGCCAAAUACCCAAACCAGUUAGUUAUGCACCUACAAGAUGAGUUGUGUAGAGAGAUCUAGACUAACAGAAGCCUGACGAAAAGAAAUUCGAGACCAACCAUCUCUGAAGAAACAGAGGUUAUUAUAGAGUAGAAACAUUGCUGUGAAAGAAUAUUUGGGUGUGUUUGGUAAUGAUAUAAUGUUUGUCAGUUGAGUGAUCCUUCUCUUGGAUGUCUGAGUGCAUAGCAACAGCACUAACUCCCAUAUCAGAGCAUUAGUCCAGGGUGGGCCUAACAAGAGCAUUUAGUACAUGACCGUCCACCCUUCUGGUUACUAAAUUCAAAUGCUUUCUAAUUCAACACUGUUUCAUUCUCUCAGAGUCAAUAGCUAGAAUAACCACAUAAAGUUAGAAAGGCAGAUGAGGUGAAUUGAAGUAUCUGGUUUUCUUCUAUCAAUCAAUUCUGAUUUCUAAUAUCACACUCUAUUGCUGGAAAAAUUAGGACCACUGGGACUUGGCAAAAAUUGGUGAUAGGUUUAGGAAAUCCUUAAACAAAACCCUGAGUAUUUCAGCUGAUCAUUGUCAAUGCUGGCGAUACAUCAAGUUGCAGUAAAGAGUGCAAGUUUGCUCCAUGCCUUGUACCGAGAAUGAAAAAUAAAUGAACAAUAUAUACAUAUUUAUAUAAGAUUCUGGGAGGGAAGAAGGUUAUGGUAUUUACUAUGC